rnacentral:rRNA from 1 species
UACGUAGGGGGCAAGCGUUAUCCGGAUUUACUGGGUGUAAAGGGAGCGUAGACGGCCAGACAAGUCUGAAGUGAAAAUCCAGCGCUUAACGUUGGAAGUGCUUUGGAAACUGCCGGGCUAGAGUGCAGGAGGGGCAGGCGGGAUUCCUAGUGUAGCGGUGAAAUGCGUAGAUAUUAGGAGGAACACCAGUGGCGAAGGCGGCCUGCUGGACUGCAACUGACGUUGAGGCUCGAAGGCGUGGGGAGCAAACAGG